rfam:Mus musculus chromosome 13, GRC primary reference assembly.
CCAAAGGCUCUUUUCAGAGCCACCCAACAGUUCAAAAUUGAGCUAU